GACGAACGCUGGCGGCGUGCUUAACACAUGCAAGUCGAACGGUAAGGCCCUUCGGGGUACACGAGUGGCGAACGGGUGAGUAACACGUGGGUUAUCUGUCCUGCACUUCGGGAGAAGCCUGGGAAACUGGGUCUUAUACCGGAUACGACCACUGCCUGCAAGGGAGGUGGUGGAAAGCUUUUGUGGUGUGGGAUGGGCCCGCGGCCUAUCAGCUUGUUGGUGGGGUGAUGGCAUACCAAGGCGACGAAGGGUAGCCGGCCUGAGAGGGUGACCGACCACACUGGGACUGAGAUACGGCCCAGACUCCUACGGGAGGCAGCAGUGGGGAAUAUUGCACAAUGGGCGCAAGCCUGAUGCAGCGACGCCGCGUGAGGGAUGACGGCCUUCGGGUUGUAAACCUCUUUCAGCACCGACGAAGCGCAAGUGACGGUAGGUGCAGAAGAAGGACCGGCCAACUACGUGCCAGCCGCCGCUGUAA
rnacentral:rRNA from 1 species